UCUACAAUAGAAAUCACAUCACCAUCAGGGACGACCACAACAGCCAGUUCUACUGCCAGCUCCACAACUGAAGAAACAACUUCAAAAUUAGUACCCACCACUACAGCACCGUCUGCUUCCAAAUCCACAUCUGAAGAAACAACUUCAACAUUAGUAUUCACCACUACAGCACCAUCGACUUCCAGUUCCACAUCUGAACAAACCUCCACAACAGUCUCAGCAACAACUCCUGGCUCAACCACUGGCUCC